AUUGAACGCUGGCGGCAGGCCUAACACAUGCAAGUCGAACGGUAACAGGAAGAAGCUUGCUUCUUUGCUGACGAGUGGCGGACGGGUGAGUAAUGUCUGGGAAACUGCCUGAUGGAGGGGGAUAACUACUGGAAACGGUAGCUAAUACCGCAUAACGUCGCAAGACCAAAGAGGGGGACCUUCGGGCCUCUUGCCCUCGUAUGUGCCCAGAUGGGAUUAGCUAGUAGGUGGGGUAACGGCUCACCUAGGCGACGAUCCCUAGCUGGUCUGAGAGGAUGACCAGCCACACUGGAACUGAGACACGGUCCAGUCUCCUACGGGAGGCAGCAGUGGGGAAUAUUGCACAAUGGGCGCAAGCCUGAUGCAGCCAUGCCGCGUGUAUGAAGAAGGCCUUCGGGUUGUAAAGUACUUUCAGCGGGGAGGAAGGGAGUAAAGUUAAUACCUUUGCUCAUUGACGUUACCCGCAGAAGAAGCACCGGCUAACUCCGUG
rnacentral:rRNA from 1 species